AAGCAGAUGAUGAAAGAUUUUGUAUUUGGGCUGAUUAACCGUGAAGCUCCAAAUCGAGCUUUUUAAAACUGAUGCUUA
rnacentral:snoRNA from 1 species